rnacentral:rRNA from 1 species
AUUGAACGCUGGCGGCAUGCUUUACACAUGCAAGUCGAACGGUAACAGGUUAAGCUGACGAGUGGCGAACGGGUGAGUAAUGUAUCGGAACGUGCCCAGUCGUGGGGGAUAACGUAGCGAAAGCUACGCUAAUACCGCAUACGAUCUGUGGAUGAAAGCGGGGGACCGUAAGGCCUCGCGCGAUUGGAGCGGCCGAUAUCAGAGUAGGUAGUUGGGGGGGUAAAGGCCCACCAAGCCAACGAUCUGUAGCUGGUCUGAGAGGUCGACCAGCCACACUGGGACUGAGACACGGCACAGGCUCACAAGGGAGGGAGCAGUGGGGAAUUUUGGACAAGGGGGGCAACCCUGAUCCAGCAAUGCCGCGGGCAGGAAGAAGGCCUUCGGGUUGUAAACUGCUUUUGUACGGAACGAAAAGGCUCUGGUUAAUACCUGGGGUUUAUGACGGUACCGUAAGAAUAAGCACCGGCUAACUACGUGCCAGCCGCCGCCGUAA